GGAUCAUUAAAGAGAGGGGCUUCGCGCCCCAGGGGACUCCGGUCCCCGCCUCUACACCCUGUGAUUACCUUACCUUUUGUUGCCUUGGCGGGGAGUCCCCCGCCAGCAGCCCACCGAAACCCGUUUCAUCCAUGCCUGUCUGAGUCUAAUUCAUAAUGAAAUCAAAACUUUCAACAACGGAUCUCUUGGUUCUGGCAUCGAUGAAGAACGCAGCGAAAUGCGAUAAGUAAUGUGAAUUGCAGAAUUCAGUGAAUCAUCGAAUCUUUGAACGCACAUUGCGCCCCUCGGUAUUCCGGGGGGCAUGCCUGUUCGAGCGUCAUUGCACCAUUCAAGCGUAGCUUGGUAUUGGGUCCUUUCGCCGGGGGUCAUCCCCGGCGUGCCCGAAAAGCAUUGGCGGUCCGGCGUGACUUUAAGCGUAGUAAAUUUUCUCCCGCUUUGAAAGCCUCGCGCCGUGGCCGGCCAGACAACCCCCAUAUUUCUCACGAUUGACCUCGGAUCAGGUAGGGAUACCCGCUGAACUUAAGCAUAUCAAU
rnacentral:rRNA from 1 species